ensembl:ncRNA F15A8.19 ncRNA
AAGGCGGCUGUUUCUUAGCCAGAUCGUUUUACGACUUAUGAAGUGGAUGGAGCGAACCUUCAGUGAUGAUUGCACUUCUUGUACCAUAUACCAGUUUAGAUGUAUAUAGUUAUCCAAGUAGAUCACUGCUCCCCACUACCAAAUUUUGGAUGGCUCAUCGAGAGAUGGGCCGAAAAU